UAAGAACAGCAGCAGCAGAAACGAAGUAUUCAUCAUACACACGCCUACUAGAUUCAAGCGAAAUGAGCGAAGAUUUCAGAUGAGGCCUUUGUUUAUAUCUCCUUCUUACUGGCUCUUCUAUUGCCUUGGUGUGCAGGUAGCUUGCCAAGUAGAAUGUAUGAUUGCCAGAGGAGAGAAUGACGACGGACCAGCAGCUCACAGACCUCACUGACAUUUACUACCACCACAACACAACUAGAAGAUUGGCUCUCAGCUACAGCCAUUUGUUGACCUAAUAGCUUUAUUCAGUGUCCUGGACACAUUGCAUUUACUGUACACUGAAUCAUUGACCUGACCUGACCUCACUUUAUACAACAAGCUACAUGUUUUCUGCAUGCAACAAGACAUAUACCAUACAGAUAUAUAUAUUUACACACACAGACACGCGCGCGGACACAUACACACGCACGCGCGCGUACACACACAUACACACACUCACACAUAUGCACAUAUACAAAAUGCGAGCUUGAUUUCCUCCAAUUUGAUAUCGAAUCAGUAUUAGAAGUAAGCCAAGUACAUUGUGAUAUAAUUGUGAUGUGACCUGUCCUACUUUCACCUGACAUAAAAAGCAUAUUAUAACUUGCUACAUGUUAUGCAACAGCUAUAAAAAAAAGUCUUGGGACAUUUGACCUGAUCUGACCUAACAAUGCAGCAAAUUAUAAGUAAAUUAAACACAGCAACGUAGCAAUUUAUAGCACAUUGUUAUAUUUAACCGAAGGCAGGGUAAAAAGAGCGAGAGAGAGGGAGAGAGAGAGAGAGUGUGUGUGUGUGCGCGCGCGAGCUGUAAAGAUAUGUGACCUGACUCGACCUGACCUAAAAAUGCAAUACUUUAUGUUGUACCAACACCUUUGUAACAUGCACUGACAAGCAAUAUACCAUCCACACGCAUCUAAUAUUACAAACUAACAAGUCAAUUAUUGCUGUAAGCUGUACAAAAUCUUGGAGACCAACAGAAGGGUGCCAAUGAAAAUAACUGGUAGGCAUUGAUUUUUCAUUUUAUUCCAUUAACUACUGUUUUCUUCAUUGUACAGCUUUUCUCUCUUCUUCAUCUGCCGCCUCUCUCUCUUCAACAUACAUUUUCUUGCACACACUUGCAUUUGUUUCUAUCUAUCUGUAUGUAUGUAUUAUGAUGUAUAUAUGUGUAUGUAUUAUAAACAUACAUGCUUAUUUUAGAGAAUGCACAUCACGUGUAUCGAAUGUAGGGAGUUUGACAGAGCUUGGUGUUUGUUGCACACACACACACACACACACCAUUUCAGUCUUUUCCUCAAAAGUUAGGAAAUAUUGUAAGUCAUCUUUCAAUUCCGACAAGAAAGCUACAAGUUUGGGAUUUCACUUGACUCAAAUAUAUUGUUACUUUUUCUCACUACCCACCUCUCUCUCUCUCUCUCUCUCUCUCUCUCUCGUAUGUGUGUGUGUGUGUGUGUGUUAUGUAAAACUGCUUCCUGUUCUUCCGAGUUCAUUGCUACUUACCUUUCCACAUGAGAUUACGCUGAUAUUCAAUGUUAUUACACAGCAAUUGGCAAAUAGUUGUGUGGAACAAUAUUUCAUGUCUGACAAAACAGUGUCUUGCUUCAUAGUUAUUUUUAAAUUGCCAGCUGUAGAUAAAUUGUAUGGAGAGAGAGAGAGAGAGAGAGAGAGAGAGAGAAGUGCUAGGUGGGAUAUUGGCAGGGCAAGUAUUAGAACUAGUUUUGUAUGAUUUCAAUACUGUAAAGUUUAAGACCUUUCCAGCAGUCGACUAUGCAUAUAUACAUGUGCGUGUGUGUGCAAAUGGACAGGUAAGGUGUUAGAUACCAGUUGUAGCUUUUAACCUCACCAUCAUAUGAGAAUACUGCUGUAUGUUGCAGUUUUCAAACAAUAUCUGCUGACUACAAAGCUUUGUUUCACUUGCUCAACAACAGCGAUGGUGAAGUUUCAAUGUGGCAACUUUUGACAAACAACUUGAAAUGUUGCUAAUGAACAGGAGUCAUAUGUUAUCUUGACUACGUUACGUUAGCAGCAAUAAUUGUGGAUUACACAAGUAGUUGUAGGGCACAGCAACUAUUUCUUUCUACCCCACUCUCUCUCUCUCUCAUAUACAACACACACACAGUUGGCUCUUCUGAAUAACAUAUACAUACACCAAUAUAUCAAUAAUUUUUCUAACAUUUAUAUUUGGUAACUUCAGUCACUAGAUUUGUUCUACAUGUAAAUACGCAUACACGUACGCACACGUGUACAGAGAGGCUGGAUUUAUGUAAGAUAUAUAUUGUUAAUUUAUUUCAUUCAAUGUGAUGUUAAGUGCAAUAAACAGCAGAAACUCAGAAAUAAUCAGUGCAGCUGAUAAGAACAGCUCUCUGUUCAGGUGACCGUGUGUUCAACUUGUGACAUUGCUCAUUGUCUGCCCUACUAACCUGUGUAUGUCUCUCUCUUUCUCUCAUAACCUCUCUCUCUCUCUCCUUCCUAGUAGUCCUACUGCUUGUUCUAGAGGCUAGCAUGACCCAGAUAAAAUAGCCUACAUUUCGGGAGAGACCCCCCUCUCCUCUCCUCCUCUCCUGCUAUCGAUACAGAUUCCAGCCUUCCUAUAUUGACACACAGAUGUAAUUGACGGUAUCGCCAGCUAUUCAUAUUUUUUGUUUGUUUAUGUAUUUCUAUAUGUUUGUCUCGUUAAUGAUGACGUGUGUGGUGGAGUGGUGGAAUAUAUUCAGGGCAUGUGGACUGGUGAAAAAUUAGGGAGGAGGGCGAGAUACUUUCUAUUGUCAUUCGUACCGUUACUGUUAACUAGAGAAGAAAGUGGAGCUUAAAAAAAGAGAUGAAAAAAAAACUAAAAAAAAAAAUUAGGGGUGGCUGAUUCGAUCCUCACCCCCUCUCUAAUAAUUAGGUU
rnacentral:lncRNA from 1 species